rnacentral:rRNA from 1 species
AUUGAACGCUGGCGGCAGGCCUAACACAUGCAAGUCGAGCGGAGCGGCGGACGGGUGAGUAAUGCCUAGGAAUCUGCCGGGUAGUGGGGGAUAACGUCCGGAAACGGGCGCUAAUACCGCAUACUAUCAGAUGAGCCUAGGUCGGAUUAGCUAGUUGGUGGGGUAAAGGCCUACCAAGGCGACGAUCCCGAACUGGUCUGAGAGGAUGAUCAGUCACACUGGAACUUAGACACUGUCCAGCCUCCUACGGGAUGCAGCAUUGGUGAAUAUUGGACAAUUGGUGAAAUCCUGAUCCAGCCCUGCCGCGUGUGUGAAGAAGGUCUUCGGAUUGUAAAGCACUUUAAGUUUGGAGGCGUUACCUACAGAAUAAGCACCGGCUAACUUCGUGCCAGCAGCCGCGGUAAUUC